CCAGUGGUGGGCUUGGCAUCCCACAGGUCUAAUCCCAAUCUCGAUUGGGGCUCAGGCCAUAGACCCCUGGACUGGGAAGCCUGGUCCCGUCAUUGGAGCUCAAAUGGAUCCCUCUGCCAGAGUGGUGGUGCCCAUUGUCCAGGUGCUGGAGGCGUUACCUCGGGGAGUGAGAGACCCUGGUCUGCUGGGGGCUGCAGAGGAGGCCUGCCGGGCCUUUGAGUCCCGCUGCCUGCAGGAGACGGAGAGAAGAGCCAGGGCUCUGAGCACACACAGCAGCCCAGAGCGGGGCCUGCUCUCUCAAGGUGGGAAAGCAUCUCCUAGGCUCAGAUUCCCACAGCAGAAAUCUCUGGGGAGUGCAUCACCACAGAUAGCUGCCCCGUGGGGAACCCCUCCUGCCCUCUGAAUGUGCUUGGCUCUCCUGAGCUCAGCCAGGCCCUGGCUCUUACCUGGCAGGUUCCCCUGACUCCGAUAAUCUAUUGUCUUUUCUUCUCCUCCCUACCCCUGGUGGUGGUCGCUGCCAUGUGGCACUUUUCUCUGCCAUUUGCAGCAGACAGAGAGGAGUGGGAACAGGAGGCACAGGUGGUGCUGGGUGUGCGGAAGUUCCUGCAGAGUUUAGCGCAGGUAGCAGAAAAGCUUAGGCAAGCUGCUCACCGGCUGCAGGGCCAGGAGGAGGAGACGCGGCUGCAGCAAAGCAGGAAUCAGAGCCCACAGGUCUGGAACCGCCCCAGGAAGGUGGUUCAGCGUCUCUCUGAUGAGUUUCAGGCGGUGGUGAGGGAGAGAGGGAACUUCCUGGCUAGGGCCCUGGGUCAGCUGCAGUACCGACGGAAGUGGAGCCACCUCCAGCUCUUGCACACCCAGAUGAUUGCCUCAGGAACCCCUGUGUGUUUGGAGAAUUACCCUGGAGACAUAUUCUAUGGAACAGUCACCACUUCUCUCAGGGACCAGGCCGCUGCCUGCCCCCUGUUGAUCCCAUUCCUGAAGCAGCUCACUGCAGCGCUAGUAGGAGCUCCAGGGCUGGAGGAUCAGAGGCUAGAAACAGCUGAUGUCAUCUGGACUUCACCAUUCUUCUCCAUCCUGAAGAAAGCAGACAUCUGGUCCCAAGCCCAGGGAAAAAUCUGGUCCCAAGCCCACAAGGAAAAAGCUGAACUGCAAGAACAAGUAUAUCACAAACCAGACCCAAAGAGCUCUUUGCAGGAUCUUCCAAAACCUCAGACAGUGUAG
rnacentral:lncRNA from 10 species